rnacentral:rRNA from 1 species
UACGGAGGGUGCAAACGUUGCUCGGAAUUACUGGGCGUAAAGCGCGCGUAGGCGGACCUGCAAGUCGGGGGUGAAAGCCCGAGGCUCAACCUCGGAACUGCCUUCGAUACUGCGGGUCUCGAGUCCGGGAGAGGUGAGUGGAAUUCCUAGUGUAGAGGUGAAAUUCGUAGAUAUUAGGAAGAACACCAGUGGCGAAGGCGGCUCACUGGCCCGGUACUGACGCUGAGGUGCGAAAGCGUGGGGAGCAAACAGG